rnacentral:rRNA from 1 species
AUUGAACGCUGGCGGCAUGCCUUACACAUGCAAGUCGAACGGUAACAGGUCUUCGGAUGCUGACGAGUGGCGAACGGGUGAGUAAUACAUCGGAACGUGCCUAGUAGUGGGGGAUAACUACUCGAAAGAGUGGCUAAUGCCGCAUGAGAUCUACGGAUGAAAGCAGGGGAUCGCAAGACCUUGUGCUACUAGAGCGGCCGAUGGCAGAUUAGGUAGUUGGUGGGAUAAAAGUUUACCAAGCCGACGAUCUGUAGCUGGUCUGAGAGGACGAUCAGCCACACUGGGACUGAGACACGGCCCAGACUCCUACGGGAGGCAGCAGUGGGGAAUUUUGGACAAUGGGCGAAAGCCUGAUCCAGCAAUGCCGCGUGCAGGAUGAAGGCCUUCGGGUUGUAAACUGCUUUUGUACGGAACGAAAAGCCCCGGGUUAAUACCCUGGGGUCAUGACGGUACCGUAAGAAUAAGCACCGGCUAACUACGUGCCAGCAGCCGCCGUAA